rnacentral:rRNA from 1 species
AGAACGAACGCUGGCGGCGUGGAUAAGACAUGCAAGUCGAACGGGAUUACUUUUGUAGCAAUACAGAAGUAAUUUAGUGGCGAACGGGUGCGUAACACGUGGGCAAUCUGCCGAAAAGUGGGGGAUAGCUCGCCGAAAGGCGAAUUAAUACCGCAUGUGGUGAGGGACGACAUCUUCCUGAAUCCAAAGCCGGGGUAACCUGGCGCUUUUUGAGGAGCCCGCGGCCUAUCAGCUAGUUGGUGAGGUAACGGCUCACCAAGGCUAUGACGGGUAGCUGGUCUGAGAGGACGACCAGUCACACUGGAACUGAGACACGGUCCAGACACCUACGGGUGGCAGCAGUCGAGAAUUUUUCUCAAGUGGGGGAAACCCUGAAGGAGCGACGCCGCGUGGAGGAUGAAGGCUUUCGGGUUGUAAACUCCUGUCAUUUGAGAACAAGGUGCGUAGUAUUAACUGUGCUCGCAUUGAUAGUAUCAAGAAGAGGAAGGACGGACUAACUC